AUAAGCGGAGGAAAAGAAACCAACAGGGAUUGCCCCAGUAACGGCGAGUGAAGCGGCAAUAGCUCAAAUUUGAAAUCUGGCCCUUUUAGGGUCCGAGUUGUAAUUUGCAGAGGGCGCUUUGGAGUCGACAGCAGCCUAAGUUCCUUGGAACAGGUCAUCAUAGAGGGUGAGAAUCCCGUAUGUGGCUGCUUGUCUUCGCCGUGUAAAGCCCCUUCGAUGAGUCGAGUUGUUUGGGAAUGCAGCUCUAAAUGGGAGGUAAAUUUCUUCUAAAGCUAAAUAUUGGCCAGAGACCGAUAGCGCACAAGUAGAGUGAUCGAAAGAUGAAAAGCACUUUGGAAAGAGAGUCAAAAAGCACGUGAAAUUGUUGAAAGGGAAGCGCUUGCAGCCAGACGUGCCCGUAGUUGCUCAUCCGGGGUUCUCCCCGGUGCACUCUUCUAUGGGCAGGCCAGCAUCAGUUCAGGCGGCUGGAGAAAGACCUGUGUCAUGUAGCUGUUCUCGGGCAGUGUUAUAGGGCAGGUGGAAUGCAGCCAGCUUGAACUGAGGUCCGCGCAAUUGCUAGGAUGCUGGCGUAAUGGCUGUAAGCGGCCCGUCUUGAAACACGGACCAAGGAGUCUAACAUCUAUGCGAGUGUUUGGGUGUCAAGCCCGAGCGCGUAAUGAAAGUGAACGGAGGUGGGAACCCCUCGGGGUGCACCAUCGACCGAUCCUGAUGUCUUCGGAUGGAUUUGAGUAAGAGCAUAGCUGUUGGGACCCGAAAGAUGGUGAACUAUGCCUGAAUAGGGUGAAGCCAGAGGAAACUCUGGUGGAGGCUCGCAGCGGUUCUGACGUGCAAAUCGAUCGUCAAAUUUGGGCAUAGGGGCGAAAGACUAAUCGAACUAUCUAGUAGCUGGUUCCUGCCGAAGUUUCCCUCAGGAUAGCAGUAACGUUUUCAGUUUUAUGAGGUAAAGCGAAUGAUUAGAGGCCUGGGGGUUGAAACAACCUUC
rnacentral:rRNA from 1 species